CAGACCACUACCUUCCACACAGCACCCUGGAGCCUCUCUGUGACGGGGCUUCCUGGCUGGCCUGUCUGAGCAGGAAAGGGCUGAGCCCUGCGUAGGCAGGCAUGCUGACGGGAUGCAUGUGGUGGGGGACAUCUGCUGCAUUUGGCUGUGUGACAUCUCCCCCUGGCCAUCUGAAUAGGUCUCCGCAGAGGCCGUGAAAAAUGUGCUACUCAGUUUUUCUGCUAACUGUUGAAGGCCUAGCUGCCGCCACUCUGGAUCUAUGCCCCAUUUGCAAUGAAGCCACACAUCUUGUGAGCCACUCCCAGCCCAUGACUAGGCACAGCAGGGGCCCUAACGCAGGAUAGCUCUGAGGAGGUGUGGGACUCUGACAGUGGAGGACAUGGGCCUGAGAACUCUUCAUCAACCUGAUCAAACCUCUCUUGGAACUGCAAAGCAGUCUGAGACUCUUCUCCCAAUCUAUUAUCUCCCUAUUAACUAUCUAUAUUGUAGCUCAUUGGAAAAGAGUCAUUAAUUUUGAUUAUCAAA